rnacentral:lncRNA from 1 species
GGGCUGCUUGCUAUCAGCAAAGUAGAGAGAUUUAACGGAUCUUGCCGAGAAUGCAAGCCUCAUUCCAAGGAAGCCAGAGCUCAGAAGACAUGGAACAAAUACAAUGAAAACAUAACUUGAGGUCGGAAAAUGUCCCCUGAAUAUUUAUGUCAAUGUCCUACCUUAGUGAAUAUUACUUAAUACUGUGGCUCCUUUAAAGCAUGUAAGUAGCUUGCAUUUAGCACAUUUGUACCAUGAAGAUACUGAGGCUGCCAUCAUGCUCUGUUAUUCUAAGAGAAAGAUCAACAGCAACAACAACAAUAAUAAUUUAAAAAGCAGAGGAAGAAAGUAAUCCAAGAAGACAGACGCAGAGCCUCUAAGAUCAUGAAGGAUGAUUAAAAGAACAAGUUGGGGAUGAAAAUGGGGAAUCAGAAAGCUUAUCAUCAGAGGCUGCAUGUAAGCACUGCUUUUCCAUCAACCUACCCUAGAUGGCUGGGAGAUGUGAUUUUACCAA